rnacentral:lncRNA from 1 species
UUUUUCUAUUUUUUUUGUUUAAACUACUAAUUUUGCUUGAUUCUAAAUCCGCUUUGAGUUGGGUUCGGCAGCGGCCAGCGAGGUACUUCAACUUUGUUCUUUGUCAUCUUUCAAACUUGACUGCUAGAACACUGAGCUUUUUAACUCCAAAAAUCAACUUACCUUUUUAUAUAUGUGUCCUACUGUAACACAAACAAGACCAAUAAAAUAUUCAAUCUCAGACCAUACGUAGUUGUUGGGGUGAAUGAUGCCCUACCGUAGGGCGUUUUACGCCAUGUGGCAGCCCAGUCAGCAAUGGGGCAUUAUUGGGCGUUUUUACAAAAGGGGUGUAGUGGGGAUGUGGAGUAUUAUGUUAAAUGAAAUGUAAUAUAAUUAAAUAAAACAAAAACCAUCAAAAAAAAUCUUAUUGGAUAAAGAAUUGGAAGAUGGAGAUUGGACAAACAAAUGGGGGGCAAGGCGUGAUUUAAAUUUUAAAUCACGCGAAAACAAAAAAACUGACCAAUCACGCCCAGGAGGGCGGUGGUGGGGCGAUAUUGGGCGUUUUUUGUGGCUUUUUUUGAAAAAACCACGCCCAUUACGGAUGGUCUCAACAAUGUUUGCAACUUAAUCAUUGUGAUUGAUCAAAAUUUAAAACAAGGCAACAGUUCACUAAUUCUUAAAAAACUAUUAUAGUUUAUCUAUACUAGUUUAUAUAGGAAAAACUGGGUUGAAGGUAAUUUCCAUGAUGACAUAUCAAAAGUCCUAGAACAAAUCCGUAUGUUUUAACAUUUUUCUUCCAUUCAUACCCCUCCACCCACAUCGAUCAAUGUCAAUCCAGCCUCUUCAUUGUCAGGUAAACCAUUUAUGAAGCCAAUUAAACCAAUAUUGAUUGCAUAAAUCAUGGAUCCUCCUUCCCUAACCGGUGGAAGCAUAUGAGAAAUUGAUGCUAAGGAACAACGAAUGCCUGCUGUUGAAGACGCCCCCCAUAUAAGUUGGAAAUAUUUCAGCACGUUGUUUGAUUUGGGAACUAAUUAUGGUGAAUCAUGGAGAGGUAUGACUUUCUUUAGUUUUUUUUAAAGGAAAAUUCAUAGACACCACUAACCCACGAACCGGAGCGGCUACACAAAAAACACUACUUAAUUACAAAAUUACACCACUCGGUCCAAGACACAGACCUCGCUUUUGUUCUACUACUAUCCCAAAGAAACCCUACCGACUUAAUAUCACUGAUAAUAUCUUCCACCCGAACUUGUUUGUUAGAGAAUUUGGCACCAUUCCUAGCACGAUGUAUACUCCAGCACCCGAUUAUAAUAAUCCCAUAAAAAACUUCUUUAGCCAAUCCUUUCAGGCCGACAUGAUCGUGGAGCUCCAACAUCUCUCUCUGAAAGUAUAAACCGCAAAUGGAGCAACUCUACACCUGAUCGGUGUAUUUUAGGUAUAAGCUAUUGAAUAUUAAUUAAGGUAAAAAUGCAUUGAUAGUGGUAUAAAACACGCUACAUUGAUUCGUUUUUGUAUCACGUUUUUUUUAACGGCAAAUAUUAUAUGAUUAUAGAAAAAGGGCCAGCGUAGCUGAAAAAACC